CCCUUAGAUGUUCUGGGCUGCACGCGCGCUACACUGAUGCGUUCAACGAGUGUAUCACCUUGCCCGAUAGGGUUGGGUAAUCUUUUGAACACGCAUCGUGAUGGGGAUAGACCUUUGCAAUUAUGGGUCUUCAACGAGGAAUUCCUAGUAAACGCAAGUCAUCAGCUUGCAUUGAUUACGUCCCUGCCCUUUGUACACACCGCCCGUCGCACCUACCGAUUGAAUGGUCCGGUGAAAUCUCGGGACGGCGGCUUGGUCGCUUGCGUCCGACUGCUGAAACUUGAUUAAACCAUAUCAUUUAGAGGAAGGUGAAGUCGUAACA
rnacentral:rRNA from 1 species